GGUUCCCAGACUAGGGGUCGAAUCGGAGUUACAGCUGCCAGCCUACACCAGAACCACAGCAAUGCAGGAUCCGAGCUGUGUCUGCGACCUACACCACAGCUCACGGCUACACUGGAUCCUUAACCCACUGAGUGAGGCCAGGGAUCGAACCCGCAACCUCAUGGUUCCUAGUCGGAUUUGCUAACCACUGAGCCACGACGGGAACUCCAAUCUUGAAAUUCUUAAUAGCUUUUGCAUAAGAGACCCCUCAUUUUUAUGAGGCCCCACAAAUUACGUAGCUGGUCCUGCAUCUUCCAAUAGCGUUUUAGCAAGAGUUAAGUCUGAGUGUGUGAAAGAGGCCCCAAGAGAUGAUUCCUCCCCCCACCCGCCUCCUUCUUUCCUUCCUUCCCCAAACAUCAAUGGAUGGCAGGUGCUGUCGCAGACACUGGGAUUGAGCAGUGAGCCAGAGUCGCUGCCUUCCUGCCUUCAAGGGAAGGAGGCUGAAGACAAACAACCAGAAGAGAACUUUGUUGGCGAUAAGUGUCAACAGCAAAGGGAUAGAUGAUGACGGGGGAGACUUUUAAGCUGUUGGGGUGCAGGGUUGGAAGAGCUCCCUGAGGCUUUGAUCAGAGACCUGAAUGAAGGGAGGGCAUGCACUGUGUGGAAUAUCAGAAGGAAAGAGAGUCCCAGGCAGAAGGACCAGCAGGUGCAAAGGCCCUGAGGUAGGUGUGUGCUUACCCCGUGGCAGAGACCAGUGUGGUGAGAGCUGGCCAGAGGAGGUGGGUGGAGGGAGAUGAGCUCAGCAAGGUGCAACAGGGCUUAUAAACUGUUGUGAGGCUGUGGUGGGGGUAAGUGAAUGACCAGGUGGGUAGAGGAUUCCUUCAACCAGAGCUGGUUGUUUGUGGCCCCCUAUGCUUAGUACCUGGAGGCCAGAAUGGCAGGGGGCGGGGGAGGAUGGUGUUUCAUUGUCUUCUGGACACUUGGUGACAAGUUGUCCCUGCACAGGGACAAGUGGCAGCCUCAAGCGCGAGCCCUCUGCUGUGGUUGAGGGAUGGUUCCUGUCUUAGCUCUCCACCGCCUCCUCUGAAGCCUGGGCCUCCGCGUCUCGACCUCUGACAAGUUGUGCCACCCAAGAGCCAACCCAGGAGUUCCCAUUAUGGCUCAGUGGGUUAAGAAACCAACGAGUAUCCAUAAGGAUGUGGCUUCAGUCCCUGACCUCGCUCAGUGGGCUAAGGAUCUGCAAUUGCCAUGAGCUGUGGUGUAGGUUGCAGACACAGCUCGAAUCUGUGUUGCUAUGGCUGUGGUGUAGACCGAUGAGACCCCUAGCCUGGGAAUUUCCAUAUGCUGCAGGUGAGGCCCUAAGGGGGGAAAAAAAGGCCAACCCAAAGGUACCCGAUGGUGUCUGUGCCAGAAGAGCCCCCACGCUGGCCAUUGCAAUGUGGCUUGGGUGAGCCUUGUUCCCUUUCUCCAAGUGACCUCCGAGAUGCAUGGUGUGCAGGCUGGGGAGUGGGACGGCCAGGCAGCCUCUGCCUCCAGGUCCCAUGGGCAGAGCUGGAAGCUGCUCUGUGCUGUUCUGUGCUUGUGGCUAAACAGAGACCCUUACUCCCAGCCGGUGACCUCAGGGCAGAGGGUCCUGGGGAAAGUGUCCCCUCCCUGGGACCCCAUCUCCUCAUCUGCACUUGGGGAUACUCACUGAGGAUUCAGUGAGAAGGCAGGUGAAGCACAUAGACUGUGGGAAACCUUCACUCCCUGGGUCCUCGUGGAAGUGGGGACCUGGCCUGAGUGUCACCUCUCAGACCCAGACCCCGGCCACAGCCAGCCCCCUCCCCCCCGCCCCCGAGAAAUGAACUGCAGAGAGUGAAACAACCAGAACAUGCUGUGUGUGACAGGUCCUCGGAGCCACCAUCUGUACCAUGAAGGGGACGGACUCAAGGACCUCAGGGGCCCCCUCAAGCCUGGAGAAUCCAAGAUGGGAAAGUGAGAGCCUCCUGCAGGAUGAUACCACUGCUCCUGCAGACUGCAAGCCCCCAUCUUCACCUUGCGGCCCUAGCGGGUCACCCCCAAAAGGAACUGGCCUGCAGGCAGAAGGCUCUGGCUGUCAGUCCUUCUAUCACAGACCUGGCCCUCCCGCUAUCACACAUGGGAGAGGAACCGUGUCAGGCCGUUGACGGGGUCUCCUUCCCAGGCCCUGGCUUCUCAGCCACCCCCAGAACCCCUGCCUGAGAACCAGUGUCCUCUGGGAGCAGCUGGGCAGGUGUAACCUCGUGACAAGGACAAGACAUCUGGAAAGAAAGGAUUGCAUUGAACAUCGCUGAUGAUGGGGAGUAGGGGACCCCUAAAGCCGUAGUUUGGAGGGAAACUUGACCUUGAAAGGGUGUGAUAACCUAAAAAGAGAGAAGGGCUGAGGCCUGGACCGUCGAACUCCCCCAGGCUGGCUCUGAUGCUGACUCCCACUGCUCUCCUGUCCUUCGGAAUCUGGUUUCCUUCUCCUGAACCAAGGAUAUUAGACCUCACAAGCGAGUCAGAAAACCUCAGGGGGACAUCCAUGAAAAUACGUACCCCGGCCACUGUCGGCCACGUGCUUGGCCGUCCCUGAGGCCCCGCUGGUGCCCAGCCCUAUUCUAAGCACUCCUCAUAUUUGAUUCAUCCCCAUUGAUGGGGAGGCACCGGCUGCCCCCCGGACACAGCAGGGGGCUGGUUUAUCCCCGCCUCUGCGGCCUCACUCGGAUAAUUGAUCCAGGCUUUCUUUCCAGCUUAUCUCUUGGAACAUGGACCCUGGAAAGUCCAAUAUGAGGCCUAUACAGAAGAUUCUUUUCCUUCCCACUGGAUCUCUUCUCCAAUAGUGUUUACUGUCCAGAGUUACACCCAGGAAGAGGCAGCUGGGGGAGCGAUGGCCUUGAGGCAAAAAUUCAGAACCCGCUUGCCAGCACUCACCUUGCCGCUUACGUCUGUGUGGAUGUGACCCAGAUUGGCACAGGGGAUCAGGGCCCUGGUGGGUCUGGAAUCACCUUUAAGGAGCUCAGAGGUGCUUGCUCAGGGUCACACGAGCUAGGCUAGGCUCAGAACGGAGCCCCGGACGGCCUCAUCCUAAAGCCUGCUCUAUACGCCCGCCCCCACAGGGUCCCUAGGAAGCCCCGACCUUGCCCCUCGGACUUGCUGAGUCUUCCUCUGGCUUCAUUACUGGGCAGUGAGGGGGAAAUGAAACACCUGCCAUGUUCUUCCUCUUCCCAGCAAGGAGGCGCCUCAGGAACCCCCACUCCCAGCAGGACCCCGGCAGUCCUGAGGCUGUCCUGGGCCAGCAGGCUUUGUAAAUGGCUCACACAUGCAGAGCCUCUAAAUGAAACGUGGCCACCACCUGCUGGGGGUCAGAGGCUCAUGGCAGGGUUAGGGGAUUUAUGUCCAGGCCCCCAUGUGUGUGUAUGUGUGUGUGUGUGUGUUCGCACGCGUGCAUGUGCCCGUGUGCAUGUGCAUUCAGGGAGCGAGCACAGAGAGAAGGAGAGACAGGAGACUCAGAGAUGGAGAGGCAGAGGGGACGCUUGGCGCACAGGACCCGAGACAGGAGAGGGGCUUGGCCCAGCCACGGAGCUCGCUGGUGGCUGAGUCCAAAACCGAAACCAGAUCCCCAGACCUUUUAUCCUUACAUCCUCUGGAGCUGCAGGAAAAGUACCAGUUUGCCCAAUUGGAGCCUGGGCUAAAGCCCUCUCUUAUAGCCCUCUUCUGAGCAUCCCCUCUAGAGCAAACAGGGGACACACAGGUGACUGGCACCAUAGUUCUGUGUGCUCUGCUUUAGGGCAGCUAAAGCAUGUGUGAGUCACUGCGCGGCCUCCCUCACUGCCACGCUGAGACACCCCCCAUGCACCCUGCGGUCAGGUGUUCACAAGGGGCAAAACCACCUGCCCUUGGCCUCCUGGGUCCCUAUUUCCCCUCGGCCUUCUUAAGCCCUGACUCCUUUAUUUUGCUAACAUUUCUUACUCUAGAGUCCACAGAUUGGGGUGUAUUUACGGAUUGGUGUGUGUGUGUGUGUGUGUGUGUUUUGUUUUUUCAGGGCUACACCUGCGGCAUAUGGAAGUUCCCAGGCUAGGGGUCAAUUUGGAGCUGCAGAUGCCAGCCUUCGCCACAGCCAUAGCAACUCGGGAUCAAGCCGUGUCUGCAACCUACACCACAGCUCAUGGCAACCCUGGAUCCUUAACCCACUGAACGCAGCCAGGGACUGACCCCGCAUCCUCAUGGAUACUAGUCGGGUUGGUAACCCACUGAGCCACAACGGGAACUCCUGUGUUUACAUUUUUAAAUGAUGAGAACUGCCCAUCCAAUAUUCAGGCUACAAUUUCCAUUCCUCAAAGGACAAUAUGUGAAUUCUUUCCACCAGAAGUGGACCAUUGAGGAGUUCCCAUUGUGGCUCAGCAGAAAUGAAUCUGACUAGCAUCCAUGAGGAUGCAGGUUCAAUCCCUGGCCUCGCUCAGUGGAUUAAGGAUCCCGCGUUGCCGUGCGCUGUGGUGUAGGUCACAGACAUGGCUCAGACCCCACGUUGCUGUGGCUAUGGUGUAGGCUGGCAGCUGUAGCUCUGAUUUGACCCCUAGCCUG
rnacentral:lncRNA from 1 species